GUGAUAAAGAGGACACAGCCUGGUGUGAAGCUACAUUUAUUACGGAAGGAUGCCAGCCGGGAUCCGAACACGUCCGAUAUCAUCCAAGAGAAUGUGGCAGCUGAAGGGGGAGAGGCCAAGGGUGAAGACAUUUAGCCACCCCCCCUGAAGUACAUGGCAUCAUUCAACCCUCUUGGUGAGCUGCAGGAAUGUGCUUCCCAUUGCAGUGCACCAGCUCCAUGUACUGAUUUUGGUGUGAACUUGAUGGGGUUGGAGGAAACUCGACUCGGCCAUCAAGCUCACCACAAUAUAACAUGAAAAGUGAAAAUUGUUGCACACAACAGUCUGUCGUCUGCACCGGGAGGCAAGGCAGCUCAAAGCCCAGGCUGUUACAACUCCUGGGCAGUUUUUGCCCAGAGCCAGCAAUUUUUUAGAUCCAAUAGGGAUGGAUUUUUUAUGAGGUCAGGUUCAACAUGCUGCAAGAUGCCAAGAUCUAAGCCUAGUA